rnacentral:rRNA from 1 species
UGUAACGGGGCUCAAGCCACGAGCCGAAGCUCAGGAUGCAUCGCAAGAUGCGUGGUAGCGGAGCGUUCUGUCUAUGUAGACCCUGCCUCUUCAGCGCCCUCGGGCGGUGCGGAGGUGAGGGUCUCGGCGAUGAAGCCGGCCUGUGAGGGACCGGUGGAGCAUUCAGAAGCGAGAAUGUUGACAUGAGUAGCGAUAAAGAGGGUGAGAGACCCUCUCGCCGAAAGUCCAAGGGUUCCUGCUUAAAGCUAAUCUGAGCAGGGUGAGCCGACCCCUAAGGCGAGGCCGAAAGGCGUAGUCGAUGGGAACCAGGUUAAUAUUCCUGGGCCAGGAGGAAGUGACGGAUCGUAGCUGUUGUCAGGCCUUAUCGG